AUUUCCUCAACGAUCAUCUGACAUGUGGGGAAAUACUGAUUGUUUUUCUCACUUGAUAAAUGCUGAGGAACUAUUACCCAAAAACUGAGUUUGUCUCUUGGUGGAUGUCGAGCCAAAAGAUACAACCAAGCCAAAGAGCAGGAGAAGGAAGGAUUUAUGAUUACUUGCAGCAGAAAGAUACGAAGCUCUAUGUCAUAUUCCUGUGUCUGAUGCCGCAGAUAUGCGAUAUGGAGUUGGGAAGUGAGGCAAGUGAAGGAGUUGUGGGAAGAAGGAUGGCAGGAAGAAAUGAUGUUCGAUUUACCCCUCAACCCCAGGACCACUGGAUACAACUUCUGAAGAUACACUUGGCACUUGGAUGCCCUUGAUGUCAUUCCUGCUGCCAUGAAUAAAGGUGUUGACGUCUUUGCAGGGAUUGAUCAGGUCUCGCCUCUUCAUUAUGCUUUCACAGUAUCUGUCAUCCCGGCCC